AGGCAGUGGCAGACGGGUUAGUAACGCGUAGAUUAUCAACCCCAUUCACGGGCAUAACCUAUUGAAAAAUUGGUUAAUUCCCGAUAGUCCCUUACGGGUAAAAGCGCAAGCCGGAACGGGAUGGGUCUGCGACCUAUCAGCUAGUUGGUGAGGUAAUGGCUCACCAAGGCAAUGACGGGUAGGGGGCGUGAGAGCGCGACCCUCAACAAUGGGACUGAGACACGGCCCAUACUCCUACGGGAGGCAGCAGUCGAGAAUAUUCCACAAUGGGCGAAAGCCUGAUGGAGCGACGCCGCGUGCAGGAAGAAGGCCUUCGGGUCGUAAACUGCUUUUAUUAGGGAACAACCUUCGGGUGAGCGUACCUAAUGAAUAAGGGAAGCCUAAUUCUGUGCCAGCAGCCGCGGUAAUA
rnacentral:rRNA from 1 species